rnacentral:misc_RNA from 1 species
GAUGAAGAACGUAGUGAAAUGCGAUAAGUAGUGUGAAUUGCAGAAUUCAGUGAAUCAUCGAAUCUUUGAACGCACAUUGCGCCCCUUGGUAUUCCAUGGGGCAUGCCUGUUCGAGCGUCAUUUGUACCUUCAAGCUUUGCUUGGUGUUGGGUGUUUGUCUCGCCUCUGCGUGUAGACUCGCCUCAAAACAAUUGGCAGCCGGCGUAUUGAUUUCGGAGCGCAGUACAUCUCGCGCUUUGCACUCAUAACGACGACGUCCAAAAGUACAUUUUUACACUCUUGACCUCGGAUCAGGUAGGGAUACCCGCUGAACUUAAGCAUAUCAAUAAGCGGAGGA